GAUGGAAGAACGUAGCGAAAUGCGAUAAGUAAUGUGAAUUGCAGAAUUCAGUGAAUCAUCGAAUCUUUGAACGCACAUUGCGCCCGCCAGUAUUCUGGCGGGCAUGCCUGUUCGAGCGUCAUUUCAACCAUCAAGCCCCCGGGCUUGUGUUGGGGACCUGCGGCUGCCGCAGGCCCUGAAAAGCAGUGGCGGGCUCGCUGUCACACCGAGCGUAGUAGAUUUUAUCUCGCUCUGGGCGUGCUGCGGGUUCCGGCCGUUAAACCACCCUUUUAACCCAAGGUUGACCUCGGAUCAGGUAGGAAGACCCGCUGAACUUAAGCAUAUCAAUAAGCGGAGGA
rnacentral:misc_RNA from 1 species